GAUGAACGCUGGCUGCGUGCCUAAUACAUGCAAGUCGAGCGAACGGACGAGAAGCUUGCUUCUCUGAUGUUAGCGGCGGACGGGUGAGUAACACGUGGAUAACCUACCUAUAAGACUGGGAUAACUUCGGGAAACCGGAGCUAAUACCGGAUAAUAUUUUGAACCGCAUGGUUCAAAAGUGAAGGACGGUCUUGCUGUCACUUAUAGAUGGAUCCGCGCUGCAUUAGCUAGUUGGUAAGGUAACGGCUUACCAAGGCAACGAUGCAUAGCCGACCUGAGAGGGUGAUCGGCCACACUGGAACUGAGACACGGUCCAGACUCCUACGGGAGGCAGCAGUAGGGAAUCUUCCGCAAUGGGCGAAAGCCUGACGGAGCAACGCCGCGUGAGUGAUGAAGGUCUUCGGAUCGUAAAACUCUGUUAUUAGGGAAGAACAUAUGUGUAAGUAACUGUGCACAUCUUGACGGUACCUAAUCAGAAAGCCACGGCUAACUACGUGCCAGCAGCCGCGGUAAUACGUAGGUGGCAAGCGUUAUCCGGAAUUAUUGGGCGUAAAGCGCGCGUAGGCGGUUUUUUAAGUCUGAUGUGAAAGCCCACGGCUCAACCGUGGAGGGUCAUUGGAAACUGGAAAACUUGAGUGCAGAAGAGGAAAGUGGAAUUCCAUGUGUAGCGGUGAAAUGCGCAGAGAUAUGGAGGAACACCAGUGGCGAAGGCGACUUUCUGGUCUGUAACUGACGCUGAUGUGCGAAAGCGUGGGGAUCAAACAGGAUUAGAUACCCUGGUAGUCCACGCCGUAAACGAUGAGUGCUAAGUGUUAGGGGGUUUCCGCCCCUUAGUGCUGCAGCUAACGCAUUAAGCACUCCGCCUGGGGAGUACGACCGCAAGGUUGAAACUCAAAGGAAUUGACGGGGACCCGCACAAGCGGUGGAGCAUGUGGUUUAAUUCGAAGCAACGCGAAGAACCUUACCAAAUCUUGACAUCCUUUGACAACUCUAGAGAUAGAGCUUUCCCCUUCGGGGGACAAAGUGACAGGUGGUGCAUGGUUGUCGUCAGCUCGUGUCGUGAGAUGUUGGGUUAAGUCCCGCAACGAGCGCAACCCUUAAGCUUAGUUGCCAUCAUUAAGUUGGGCACUCUAAGUUGACUGCCGGUGACAAACCGGAGGAAGGUGGGGAUGACGUCAAAUCAUCAUGCCCCUUAUGAUUUGGGCUACACACGUGCUACAAUGGACAAUACAAAGGGCAGCGAAACCGCGAGGUCAAGCAAAUCCCAUAAAGUUGUUCUCAGUUCGGAUUGUAGUCUGCAACUCGACUACAUGAAGCUGGAAUCGCUAGUAAUCGUAGAUCAGCAUGCUACGGUGAAUACGUUCCCGGGUCU
rnacentral:rRNA from 1 species